rnacentral:rRNA from 1 species
UACGGGGGGAGCAAGCGUUGUUCGGAUUUACUGGGCGUAAAGGGCGCGUAGGCGGCGUGACAAGUCACUUGUGAAAUCUCCGGGCUUAACUCGGAACGGUCAAGUGAUACUGUCGUGCUAGAGUACAGAAGGGGCAACUGGAAUUCUUGGUGUAGCGGUGAAAUGCGUAGAUAUCAAGAGGAACACCUGCGGCGAAGGCGGGUUGCUGGGCUGACACUGACGCUGAGGAACGAAAGCUAGGGGAGCAAACAGG